rnacentral:rRNA from 1 species
ACUAUAGCUUGACACUGAACAUUGAGCCUUGAUGUGUAGGAUAGGUGGGAGGCUUUGAAGCGUGGACGCCAGUCUGCGUGGAGCCGACCUUGAAAUACCACCCUUUAAUGUUUGAUGUUCUAACGUGGACCCGUAAUCCGGGUUGCGGACAGUGUCUGGUGGGUAGUUUGACUGGGGCGGUCUCCUCCUAAAGAGUAACGGAGGAGCACGAAGGUUGGCUAAUCCUGGUCGGACAUCAGGAGGUUAGUGCAAUGGCAUAAGCCAGCUUGACUGCGAGCGUGACGGCGCGAGCAGGUGCGAAAGCAGGUCAUAGUGAUCCGGUGGUUCUGAAUGGAAGGGCCAUCGCUCAACGGAUAAAAGGUACUCCGGGGAUAACAGGCUGAUACCGCCCAAGAGUUCAUAUCGACGGCGGUGUUUGGCACCUCGAUGUCGGCUCAUCACAUCCUGGGGCUGAAGUAGGUCCCAAGGGUAUGGCUGUUCGCCAUUUAAAGUGGUACGCGAGCUGGGUUUAGAACGUCGUGAGACAGUUCGGUCCCUAUCUGCCGUGGGCGCUGGAGAACUGAGGGGGGCUGCUCCUAGUACGAGAGGACCGGAGUGGACGCAUCACUGGUGUUCGGGUUGUCAUGCCAAUGGCACUGCCCGGUAGCUAAAUGCGGAAGAGAUAAGUGCUGAAAGCAUCUAAGCACGAAACUUGCCCCGAGAUGAGUUCUCCCUGAGACUUAGAGUCUCCUGAAGGAACGUUGAAGACGACGACGUUGAUAGGCCGGGUGUGUAAGCGCAGCGAUGCGUUGAGCUAACCGGUACUAAUGAACCGUGAGGCUUAACCUU